rnacentral:rRNA from 1 species
AGAGUUUGAUCAUGGCUCAGGACGAACGCUGGCGGCGUGCUUAACACAUGCAAGUCGAGCGAUGAAGCUCCUUCGGGAGUGGAUUAGCGGCGGACGGGUGAGUAACACGUGGGUAACCUGCCUCAUAGAGGGGAAUAGCCUUCCGAAAGGAAGAUUAAUACCGCAUAAGAUUGUAGUGCCGCAUGGCAUAGCAACUAAAGGAGUAAUCCGCUAUGAGAUGGACCCGCGUCGCAUUAGCUAGUUGGUGAGGUAACGGCUCACCAAGGCGACGAUGCGUAGCCGACCUGAGAGGGUGAUCGGCCACAUUGGGACUGAGACACGGCCCAGACUCCUACGGGAGGCAGCAGUGGGGAAUAUUGCACAAUGGGGGAAACCCUGAUGCAGCAACGCCGCGUGAGUGAUGACGGUCUUCGGAUUGUAAAGCUCUGUCUUCAGGGACGAUAAUGACGGUACCUGAGGAGGAAGCCACGGCUAACUACGUGCCAGCAGCCGCGGUAAUACGUAGGUGGCAAGCGUUGUCCGGAUUUACUGGGCGUAAAGGGAGCGUAGGUGGAUAUUUAAGUGGGAUGUGAAAUACUCGGGCUUAACCUGGGUGCUGCAUUCCAAACUGGAUAUCUAGAGUGCAGGAGAGGAAAGUAGAAUUCCUAGUGUAGCGGUGAAAUGCGUAGAGAUUAGGAAGAAUACCAGUGGCGAAGGCGACUUUCUGGACUGUAACUGACACUGAGGCUCGAAAGCGUGGGGAGCAAACAGGAUUAGAUACCCUGGUAGUCCACGCCGUAAACGAUGAAUGCUAGGUGUUGGAGGGUUUCCGCCCUUCAGUGCCGCAGCUAACGCAUUAAGCAUUCCGCCUGGGGAGUACGACCGCAAGGUUGAAACUCAAAGGAAUUGACGGGGGCCCGCACAAGCAGCGGAGCAUGUGGUUUAAUUCGAAGCAACGCGAAGAACCUUACCUAGACUUGACAUCUCCUGAAUUACCCUUAAUCGGGGAAGCCCUUCGGGGCAGGAAGACAGGUGGUGCAUGGUUGUCGUCAGCUCGUGUCGUGAGAUGUUGGGUUAAGUCCCGCAACGAGCGCAACCCUUAUAGUUGGUUGCCAGCACGUUAUGGUGGGCACUCUAGCGAGACUGCCGGGGUUAACUCGGAGGAAGGUGGGGAUGACGUCAAAUCAUCAUGCCCCUUAUGUCCAGGGCGACACACGUGCUACAAUGGCGAGAACAAAGAGAAGCAAGACCGUGAGGUGGAGCAAAACUGAUAAAACUCGUCCCAGUUCGGAUUGUAGGCUGAAACUCGCCUACAUGAAGCCGGAGUUGCUAGUAAUCGCGAAUCAGAAUGUCGCGGUGAAUACGUUCCCGGGCCUUGUACACACUGCCCGUC